UACAGAGGGGGCAAGCGUUAUUCGGAAUUAUUGGGCGUAAAGGGCGCGUAGGCGGCUUGGCAAGUGGAUGGUGAAAUCCCUCGGCUUAACCGAGGAACUGCCGUCCAAACUGCUUCGCUUGAGACCGGGAGAGGUGAGUGGAAUUCCCAGUGUAGCGGUGAAAUGCGUAGAUAUUGGGAGGAACACCAGUGGCGAAGGCGGCGAGCUGGUCCGUACCUGACGCUGAGGCGCGACAGCGUGGGGAGCAAACAGG
rnacentral:rRNA from 1 species